rnacentral:rRNA from 1 species
GCGGAGGGACAUUACAGAGUUAUCAAAACUCCCAAACCCAUGUGAACAUACCUCGCGUUGCCUCGGCAGGUGGCGCCCCGCCCUGUGAGGGCCUACCCUGUAGGAGCUCACCCGGUGGUCGCCCCUGCCGACGGCCCACGAAACUCUGUUUUUUUAUAGCAUUAGACCUCUGAAAAGAUAACUAAAUAAGUUAAAACUUUCAACAACGGAUCUCUUGGUUCUGGCAUCGAUGAAGAACGCAGCGAAAUGCGAUAAGUAAUGUGAAUUGCAGAAUUCAGUGAAUCAUCGAAUCUUUGAACGCACAUUGCGCCCACCAGUAUUCUGGUGGGCAUGCCUGUUCGAGCGUCAUUUCAACCCUUAAGCCCCUGUUGCUUAGCGUUGGGAGCCUACCGGAAACCGUCCGGUAGCUCCCCAAAGUCAGUGGCGGAGCCGGUUCGCACUCCAGACGUAGUAGCUUUUACACGUCGCCUGUAGCGCGGGCCGGUCCCCUGCCGUAAAAACCCCAAAUUCUUAUAGGUUGACCUCGGAUCAGGUAGGAAUACCCGCUGAACUUAAGCAUAUCAAUAAGCGGAGGAA